rnacentral:rRNA from 1 species
GGGUAUCGCGGGCGCGAAUUCGCCCUUACUCCUACGGUGAGGCAGCAGUGGAGGAAUAUUGGACGAUGGGCGCAAGCCUGAUGCUUCAAUGCCGCGUGUGUGAAGAAGGCCUGCGGGUUGUAAAGCACUUUCACCAAGGAAGAAAAGCUCGGGGUUCAUAGCCAUGACUCCUGGCUUUUUCUACACACUAAUCACCGGUUAACUCCGUGCCAGCAGCCGUCGGCAAUACUUAGCGGCGCGGAGCGUCUUUCGGAAUUACUGGGUGUAACGCGCGCGUAAGCGGUUAGGUCAGCCGGAUGUGAACGCCCUGGACUUAACCUGGGAACUGCAUUCGAUGCUGACUGGCUAGAGUAUGGCACAGGGAAAUGCAAUUCCCUGCGUAGCGUUGAAAUGCGUAAAUAUCCAGAGGAGCACCCCUGCUGAAGGUGACUUCCUGGACCGAUACUGACUCUGAGGUGCGUAAGCCUGGGUAGCCCACAGGAUUAGAUACCCUGGUAAUCCACGCCCUAUACUAUGUCCUCUAGCCGUUGGGCUCAAUUCAUAGCUUAGGGGCGCAGCUAAUGCGUUAA